rnacentral:lncRNA from 1 species
GAACCCUUCACUGAGAACAUUCACCCAGGCGCAGUCCCUGCCAGCCUGGCCUCAGAGGAGCAAAAGCCAGCAAAUGUAAACCCUGUUUCACGGUGGGACCUCUGGAUGCUGUCCCCUGCUUCCUGAAGUUGAGGACUGACUGUGUGCCAUAGGCAGAGGGAGACUAGAUGCAGGUCCCAGUGAUGUGGAUUUCAGAGGGUUUCUCUGCCAUUUUAUUCAAAUGUGAGUUGAGCAAAUAAUGUAAGAGAGUAAUUACAGCGA